rnacentral:rRNA from 1 species
UACGGGGGGGGCAAGCGUUGUUCGGAAUUACUGGGCGUAAAGGGCGCGUAGGCGGUUGGAUAAGUCAGCUGUGAAAACCACGAGCUUAACUCGUGGCCUGCAGUUGAGACUGUCUGGCUUGAGUGUGGGAGAGGAGAGUGGAAUUCCUGGUGUAGCGGUGAAAUGCGUAGAUAUCGAGAGGAACACCUGCGGCGAAGGCGGGUUGCUGGGCUGACACUGACGCUGAGGCGCGAAAGCUAGGGGAGCGAACGGG